CUUCUGGUUUUCCUCACUGAGCACGGCAGCUGAGCCACUGCCAAACCUCGCUUCAGACACGCGCUGCAGAUAUCGG